rnacentral:rRNA from 1 species
AGCGAAAUGCGAUAAGUAAUGUGAAUUGCAGAAUUCAGUGAAUCAUCGAAUCUUUGAACGCACCUUGCGCCCCUUGGCUAUUCCGAGGGGCAUGCCUGUUUGAGUAUCAUGAACACCUCAACUCUCAUGGUUUGCCAUGAUGAGUUGGACUCUGGGGGUUUUGCUGGCCUGUGGUCGGCUCCUCUCAAAUUAAUCAGCCUCCCAGUGUUUGGUGGCAUCACGGGUGUGAUAAAUAUCUAUGCUCGCUGUUGUCUGCCAGGUAACCUUUGGUCACAAAGGUUUGCUGGAGCUCACAGAUGUCUCUCCUCAGCGAGGACAGCUUUUUUAACGUUCGAUCUCAAAUCAGGUAGGACUACCCGCUGAACUUAA